ACUCCUGGUUCUCUGCUGCGUGUUGAGGUUUAUGUUACAGUGGCCAGGAGUAAGAGUUUUGCGUGGUAAGGAACUGGAAGCGUUCCUUGCCCAAGCACUUUCUCCUAAACUCUAUGAGCCUGAACAGCUGCAGGAACUCAAGAUUGAUAGCCUGGACCCUCGCGGCGUGCAGCUGGCCGCUCUGUUCAUGAGCGGCGUGGACAUGGCCUUAUUGGCCAAUCGACGUGUGUGGCCAGCCAAUCCCCCUGGGAGCACUGCUGUCCAUGGAUGUACUCGAUGGCAAACUGCUGCAGAGCAAACUGAUCCAGGCCAUUCGGGACAAGGCCCCGCUCAUCGACCUCUGUGAUGGUCAGGUGGAUCAGGUGAACAAGGUGAAGAAAAUGCGGCAGAGCAUCCUGGAGGGGCUUAACUUCUCCCCGCCUCCUCCCCCCACCCCCACGCCAUGCCUUUCUACCCCCCCAGGGGAGCCUUCUACCCCCCCCG